rnacentral:rRNA from 1 species
AGUGAACGCUGGCGGUAGGCCUAACACAUGCAAGUCGAACGGCAGCACAGUAAGAGCUUGCUCUUACGGGUGGCGAGUGGCGGACGGGUGAGGAAUACAUCGGAAUCUACUUUUUCGUGGGGGAUAACGUAGGGAAACUUACGCUAAUACCGCAUACGACCUACGGGUGAAAGCAGGGGAUCUUCGGACCUUGCGCGAUUGAAUGAGCCGAUGUCGGAUUAGCUAGUUGGCGGGGUAAAGGCCCACCAAGGCGACGAUCCGUAGCUGGUCUGAGAGGAUGAUCCGCCACACUGGAACUGAGACACGGUCCAGACUCCUACGGGAGGCAGCAGUGGGGAAUAUUGGACAAUGGGCGCAAGCCUGAUCCAGCCAUACCGCGUGGGUGAAGAAGGCCUUCGGGUUGUAAAGCCCUUUUGUUGGGAAAGAAAAGCAGCAUGUUAAUACCCCGCUGUUCUGACGGUACCCAAAGAAUAAGCACCGGCUAACUUCGUG